UGGAUGCAACUGAAUAUUCAUGCUACUCACGCAUUGGUUUGCGUUCUUCUACCCCGGGGUUUUCCUGUUAUUUUUGGAAGCUGAUUUUCUAAACCAUGGAAGGACAGGGAACUAUGCUUUUAAAUCCGCAGCUGAGAAUACACCCAACGAUUUUCCGUUUAAGUCCGACACCUCGUACGAACUGGUACCGACUUUCCGGAGGAUGACGCAUGGUGUGUAUUGAGGUCCCAGCUUCGCGUUGAAUUGGAUUCCAGCAGACGACUGACGAAAACUCCGUUUAUACACACGCUGACCCACAUCAAACGUUGGAAUGGAGGUCACGUUCGCAGCCAACAUCGCCGUUCUGCAAUCUGCUCUGGUGUUCCGGAAAAGCACAUCGAACUUUCUGGCAUCAUCCCAUUGUCUCGACAUACUCCGGAAAAUUCGUACCAUAUCCAGAUAAUAGUCCUGGAAUUUCUCCCUAGGACCUUGCUUUCGCGCAUUCGCCAGACGUUCAUACUGGUAAUCAAUGUCUACAGCUUUCAACAAAUUCCGCAAGGCUCUCUCCUGUUUACUACGCGAUUCAUCAUCCAUGUUCACACCACGAAUCCGCAAUUCAUGAUGGAGUUCGUCAUCAGCCAGAUGAGCAGUAUUGAGCGCGUGGUACUGCGUCUCAAAGUGAAUUAAUUCCAUUAUGCAAUGUUUGCGUGAAAUUUAAGCAAAAUUAUAAAAAGAAAAAUUAAAAAGAACUACCUAUAUUACGCUUAGCGGUCUUUCACGCUGAAAAUUAAUUUGAAAAUCCUAAUAAUUGUAAAAUCCUAGUUUCAAAUUCAGAAAUAAAUCACUUUUCCUUUCUGGUGUUUUAAUAACUCCUUCCGAAAACACACCACGCACACGGAUAA